rnacentral:tRNA from 1 species
GUAGCUGUAGUUUAAGCAAAACAUUAGAUUGUGGAUCUAACAAUAAAAGUCUGCCACUUCUUAUCUACC